UUGUGUUCUUCUAUUUCCACAAAUGCUUUUUUUAUGCAGUGUCUUAGUUCCUUGUUAAUCAUGGUGAGAAUGAUGUUUGCUUCUACCCAAUGGAGUCGGGUUGACAUAUAUACCUCUUAAGUUUCUUGAGGCAAAGGCUCCCUUUUGCUUUGAGGUGUCAGUCAUGUUGUAAAGGCCAUAAUAAUUCUCAAAGAAACAUUUCUGAUUUUUGCCACUUGCUGCAGUGUAAGAGCAGAUAGGCAAGAAAACGCUGCUUCAAGAGCCAGGCUUUUGCUGUUUGAUGGUGACAGAUAAUGGUAAUAUUUACUACUUAAGAGCCAUGCACAUAAAUCUACAUGCUUAUGUAGUAUUGAAUAAAAAAUAUUAUGGCAUUUCUUAUAGAACAAAACUGCCAUGUAUAUUAACACAGAUCUGGGAUCUGGAUGUCAAGGAAAUUGAGCCAAAAUUAAAGCUGUUUUACCAAAUUGAUUCAGUACUGUAAGAGUAUUUUAAGAAGCUGUAAUAAGAGAGGCUCUUAUUAUUAAGAGAGGAAUAGACUAAAAUAUUUCUGUUUAGAUUAAAGGUGUAAGCACUAAAGGUGAUAAGCAGUGUCAUGCUUACAGCUUACUACUUGCUGCAAAGCUAAGUGUAGACUAGUUACUGUAAUUUCUGAAGUGUAUUAAUGCUCUGUUCUUUAGAGUUGAAGCAGACUGAAUAUUAAAGAAAAGGCUCUGUUAGACUAAGUUUACAUUUUGUCUGGAAUUCUGCACCUCUUUCACCCUUACUCAGUCUCCCACUUUUUCAUCUCGCUCAGACUCAAUACACAAAACCUUGAACAAAAUGUUUUGUUUUCUCUAACUCAAGAACUACCCGUCAUCGCUCGCCCCUCCAACCUUAGAUCAUUUUCACUGUUUAUGCUUUGCUUCUUUUUGAAAGCUGCUCUCUGGAUCUGUUCUCCAUCCACUACUGCUUCCCUGUACCUUAUUGCCCUGGUUUUGCUGUCUCCUUUUCUUCUCUGCACCAUCUUUCCCUGCGAAUGUUAGUGAAGGUGUAAUGGUCCGGUGGCAACUCUGGCUUCCGAAGGAUGUUGUUGGCCAUCUGCAGAUGUAAACACACUGAGAGCUGCUGGGUGAAGUUUCAGAAGCUGCUUCCCCACCCAAAACUGACCUGGGGAGAGCUGAAUAGAUGUAAAGUGUUCACUGCCCUCUGAUGUGCCACCUCCAUCCUCCACAUCCCAUGUAUGGCCCCAGAAGAUCUUAUCUACAAAUACAUCAGAAAUUACGUUCACUGAGAAGAACUGAGCUCCAUGUGGGAAACAUCACAAGAUGUAACGGUUUUGACCAUCUGUAGCAUUUAGCACUUCAAACUUGCACAUCAAUGUAUAAUUAUUAACAGCUCUUCAUGCCAAAGCAAUUUUCUGUGGAGGGCAAAUUGUCUGCUGCAUUCAGAACCAGGAUUAUAUUGCAUGGAUUGUGGGGCAGCAUAGAAAAAUGAAGAGAUGACGGUUCCCUGCGUUGCUACCUGGCUGUAAGGCAGAAAAGAUGACAAAAAUACCCUUUGGGGCAUUGAGAGGACUACUGCUGUGGGGAGAGAACAGAAAGAAUGCAGUGGUAAACCUGGAGCGAGUGAGAGUCAGUCUGCAGUCUGAAGCACCAAGAUAACCAGAUCAGCACUCACCAGGCUGCUUCAGUUGCAGGAGCAACAUACAGCUUAGCCCACGGCAACUACCUUGCACACAGCUCUUGUCUGCUGCAACUGAGUUAUUGAGGAAGAAGGAGGACUCUCAUGUUUAAUAUGACACAGUUUGCUCUGGCAGUGUAACCCAGUCUAAGGUCUUGACCCUAAAUCCCAACUGAAAAACAUUCGUGCUGCCAAGGCCAGUGAAAGAGGAGCAUUUGGAGACUUGCCUCAGCUCUUGCAGGAAAGUAGGAGGAAGCAAGCCAGAGAGAGCACGGCGAUGCUCUUGGAUACAUCAGGCUGGUGGGUCUCCAGUGUGGGGAGCACUGUGAAGGCUGUGGGGUGGCACAUGUCUACUGGAGUUUAAGUAGCAGCUUGAACAUUGAGUUUCUGACUAUAAAAAGAGUUUAUUUGCUCUUGAUAGGGGAGCAUGCAGAAAUACAAGGUUUAGACCUUUUGAAAAAGCUGGUACAAACCUGUAGCAUAGGGGUUAUGCACUGCUCUGGACUGUCAAUUGCAUUGGGAAGGAGAAAACUAGAUAGCUGAUUUCACCCAUGAUAUUUUUAACUCCUUCUUUGCUUGCAGUGGUGUCCAGUGAGUGUAAAAUUCUUUAUCUGGAUCUGAAUUUGGUGACAUUUUAAAAUGAGUGGUUCAUUUGUAAGUACUGUAUAAAACAUGAGGCUGAGGUUUUUCUGACCCAAUGAAUUUGGUCACACUUUCUUGCUUGAGUUCAGUAUUUUCCUGGGGUGUCAAGUGGGAGCUUGAUUCUUGUUUUCAGAAAGAACUUUAUAAAAAAAGUUAUUGGUAGAGAAGUUAACUUGAGCUAAGAUAUUUUCUUUCUCUGUUACUCCUUCCAAUUAGUUAACUAAAUUGAUUAAAAAGCUGUUUUUAAAACACUGGAUUACUCAGUCUUUUGCAGUUCCUUUUAUAAGGAAAACAUGCUAAGUAAAAAGGAGCCUAAGG